UCUUCGCAGACGGUGUUCUCUUGUUCAGUGGAUCUAUUAUUAUAGGGAGAUAAUAAUAAUAAUAAUAAUAAUAAUAAUAAUAAUAAUAAUAAUAAUAAUAAUAAUAAUAAUAAUAAUAAUAAUAAUAAUAUAUGAGAUCAUUGUAUGUGAGGAUUACAGAAGUUGAGAUAAGGGUUUAUAUGAACGAAAAGCUUCUGGCGAAAAAAACGCUGCGGUGGUACUAUAACCGCCGGUAAACCAUUCCAACCCAAGAGAGUAACCGCCGGUAAACCGUUUCAACCGAAAAGAGUAACCGCCGACCACCGGGAAAAAGCCGUCAUCUCCGGCGACGGUUAAGCAGCCGGAGAUCGGAGGAACCGCGUCAUCGCUGAUGAUGAUGAGAAUGAUUGUGGCACCCGUUAACCGGUGAGUUGAAUCGCCGGAGGAAGGUUCGGAAGAAUUGGUGGAUAUCAAAGUGGAUUCCUGUAAAUCUCAGCGGAGAGUCUUGUAGAUGAUUUCAGAUUGCCGGUAAUCUCAAUUGGUUAGAGCCUCGUGCUGAUAACGUGAUAAGAAACUAAUCUGACUAAUGUGGAAAGUGUAUUGAAUCUUGAAUAUUAUUCCCAUACUCAAUUACAGAUCUCUA